GAUGAACGCUGGCGGCGUGCCUAAUACAUGCAAGUCGAGCGAACCACUUCGGUGGUGAGCGGCGAACGGGUGAGUAACACGUAGGUGAUCUGCCCAUCAGACGGGGACAACGAUUGGAAACGAUCGCUAAUACCGGAUAGGACGAAAGUUUAAAGGUGCCUCUGGCACCGCUGAUGGAUGAGCCUGCGGCGCAUUAGCUAGUUGGUAGGGUAAAGGCCUACCAAGGCGACGAUGCGUAGCCGACCUGAGAGGGUGAACGGCCACACUGGGACUGAGACACGGCCCAGACUCCUACGGGAGGCAGCAGUAGGGAAUCUUCGGCAAUGGGCGAAAGCCUGACCGAGCAACGCCGCGUGAAUGAUGAAGGUCGGAAGAUUGUAAAAUCCUUUUAAGUAUGAUGAAUAACCUGAUCAGGAAAUGGGACAGGGAUGACCGUAAUACUUGAAUAAGCAACGGCUAAUUACGUG
rnacentral:rRNA from 1 species